rnacentral:rRNA from 1 species
UACGAAGGGGGCUAGCGUUGUUCGGAAUCACUGGGCGUAAAGGGCGCGUAGGCGGCUUUAUAAGUCGGGGGUGAAAGCCUGUGGCUCAACCACAGAAUUGCCUUCGAUACUGUAGAGCUUGAGACCGGAAGAGGUAAGUGGAACUGCGAGUGUAGAGGUGAAAUUCGUAGAUAUUGGGAAGAACACCGGUGGCGAAGGCGGCUCUCUGGACCGAUACUGACGCUGAGGCGCGAAAGCGUGGGGGAGCAAACAGG